AGUGAACGCUGGCGGUAGGCCUAACACAUGCAAGUCGAACGGCAGCACAGUAAGAGCUUGCUCUUACGGGUGGCGAGUGGCGGACGGGUGAGGAAUACAUCGGAAUCUACUUUUUCGUGGGGGAUAACGUAGGGAAACUUACGCUAAUACCGCAUACGACCUACGGGUGAAAGCAGGGGAUCUUCGGACCUUGCGCGAUUGAAUGAGCCGAUGUCGGAGUAGCUAGUUGGCGGGGUAAAGGCCCACUAAGUCGACGAUCCGCAGCCGGUCUGAGAGGCUGGUCAGCCACACUGGAGCUUGGACACGGACCAUACUCCUACGGGACGCCCCAGUGUGCAAUAUUGGACAAUGGGCGCAAACCUGAUCCAGCCAUCCCGCGUGUGUGAAGGAGGCCUUCCGGUUGUAAAGCCCUUUUGUUGGGAAAGAACAGCAUCAGGUUAAUACCCCGCUGUUCUGACGGUACCCAAAGAAUAAGCACCGGCUAACUUCGUG
rnacentral:rRNA from 1 species